UACGUAGGGACCAAGCGUUGUUCGGAUUUACUGGCGUAAAGGGCGCGUAGGCGGCUUGACAAGUCACUUGUGAAAUCUCCGGGCUUAACUCGGAACGGCCAAGUGAAACUGUCAUGCUAGAGUGCAGAAGGGGCAAUCGGAAUUCUUGGUGUAGCGGUGAAAUGCGUAGAUAUCAAGAGGAACACCUGAGGUGAAGACGGGUUGCUGGGCUGACACUGACGCUGAGGCGCGAAAGCCAGGGAGCAAACAGG
rnacentral:rRNA from 1 species